GUACUCACUUUGGCAACAUAUAUAGUAAAACUGGAAUUAUACGAGAAGGUUAGCAAGGCCUCUGCAUAAAGAAGACAAAGGAUGAAGAGGGAGAUUUAUGACAUGA